AUCCCAUGGUGUGGACACUUCCUUAGUAGAUUUUUGAAUCUGUUCCAAGCCUCAUCGAAAUUCUCAGCUUCACCUUGCCUGAAGAUAGAUAUGUCAUGCUUUAGCUU
rnacentral:snoRNA from 1 species